rnacentral:rRNA from 1 species
GACGAACGCUGGCGGCGUGCUUAACACAUGCAAGUCGAACGGAAAGGCCCUGCUUUUGUGGGGUGCUCGAGUGGCGAACGGGUGAGUAACACGUGAGUAACCUGCCCUUGACUUUGGGAUAACUUCAGGAAACUGGGGCUAAUACCGGAUAGGAGCUCCUGCUGCAUGGUGGGGGUUGGAAAGUUUCGGCGGUUGGGGAUGGACUCGCGGCUUAUCCGCUUGUUGGUGGGGUAGUGGCUUACCAAGGCUUUGACGGGUAGCCGGCCUGAGAGGGUGACCGGCCACAUUGGGACUGAGAUACGGCCCAGACUCCUACGGGAGGCAGCAGUGGGGAAUAUUGCACAAUGGGCGGAAGCCUGAUGCAGCAACGCCGCGUGCGGGAUGACGGCCUUCGGGUUGUAAACCGCUUUCGCCUGUGACGAAGCGUGAGUGACGGUAAUGGGUAAAGAAGCACCGGCUAACUACGUA